GCUGUUGCGUUUUUCGUACGCACGUAUACGCACGUAAAACUUUAAAUCCGUUUAAAUGUUACUUAUGAAAUAACCAAACAAAUAAAGCAACAGAAUUUAGUGUUCCGCAAGUUUUAGUAUGCAUUUGUUAACUUAUUUGUAAAAUAUUUAAAAAAUGGAAGGAUUCAAAGUUUUACGUGCGUGCACGUGCGUACGAAAAACGCAACAGU
rnacentral:miRNA from 1 species